rnacentral:tRNA from 1 species
GACUCAGUAGCUCAGCUGGUAGAGCACAUCCCUUUUAAGGAUGGGGUCCUGGGUUCGAAUCCCAGCUGGGUCA